UAUGGAGAGUUUGAUCCUGGCUCAGAGUGAACGCUGGCGGCGUGCCUAAUACAUGCAAGUCGAACGAUGAAGCUUUCUAGCUUGCUAGAAUGCUGAUUAGUGGCGCACGGGUGAGUAACGCAUAGGUUAUGUGCCUUUUAGUUUGGGAUAGCCAUUGGAAACGAUGAUUAAUACCAGAUACUCCCUACGGGGGAAAGAUUUAUCGCUAAGAGAUCAGCCUAUGUCCUAUCAGCUUGUUGGUAAGGUAAUGGCUUACCAAGGCUAUGACGGGUAUCCGGCCUGAGAGGGUGAACGGACACACUGGAACUGAGACACGGUCCAGACUCCUACGGGAGGCAGCAGUAGGGAAUAUUGCUCAAUGGGGGAAACCCUGAAGCAGCAACGCCGCGUGGAGGAUGAAGGUUUUAGGAUUGUAAACUCCUUUUGUUAGAGAAGAUAAUGACGGUAUCUAACGAAUAAGCACCGGCUAACUCCGUGCCAGCAGCCGCGGUAAUACGGAGGGUGCAAGCGUUACUCGGAAUCACUGGGCGUAAAGAGCGCGUAGGCGGGAUAGUCAGUCAGGUGUGAAAUCCUAUGGCUUAACCAUAGAACUGCAUUUGAAACUACUAUUCUAGAGUGUGGGAGAGGUAGGUGGAAUUCUUGGUGUAGGGGUAAAAUCCGUAGAGAUCAAGAGGAAUACUCAUUGCGAAGGCGACCUGCUGGAACAUUACUGACGCUGAUUGCGCGAAAGCGUGGGGAGCAAACAGGAUUAGAUACCCUGGUAGUCCACGCCCUAAACGAUGGAUGCUAGUUGUUGGAGGGCUUAGUCUCUCCAGUAAUGCAGCUAACGCAUUAAGCAUCCCGCCUGGGGAGUACGGUCGCAAGAUUAAAACUCAAAGGAAUAGACGGGGACCCGCACAAGCGGUGGAGCAUGUGGUUUAAUUCGAGGCUACACGAAGAACCUUACCUAGGCUUGACAUUGAGAGAAUCCGCUAGAAAUAGUGGAGUGUCUGGCUUGCCAGACCUUGAAAACAGGUGCUGCACGGCUGUCGUCAGCUCGUGUCGUGAGAUGUUGGGUUAAGUCCCGCAACGAGCGCAACCCCCUUUCUUAGUUGCUAACAGGUUAUGCUGAGAACUCUAAGGAUACUGCCUCCGUAAGGAGGAGGAAGGUGGGGACGACGUCAAGUCAUCAUGGCCCUUACGCCUAGGGCUACACACGUGCUACAAUGGGGUGCACAAAGAGAAGCAAUACUGCGAAGUGGAGCCAAUCUUCAAAACAUCUCUCAGUUCGGAUUGUAGGCUGCAACUCGCCUGCAUGAAGCUGGAAUCGCUAGUAAUCGCAAAUCAGCCAUGUUGCGGUGAAUACGUUCCCGGGUCUUGUACUCACCGCCCGUCACACCAUGGGAGUUGUGUUUGCCUUAAGUCAGGAUGCUAAAUUGGCUACUGCCCACGGCACACACAGCGACUGGGGUGAAGUCGUAACAAGGUAACCGUAGGUGAACCUGCGGUUGGAUCACCUCCUU
rnacentral:rRNA from 1 species